UGAUAUGUUUUACACUUGUUACUUUUAAAAGGGUUUUUUUUUUAUCAUUCAGGAUGGUUCUAGAAGAAGAACUCCAGGGGGAGUUUAUAUAAACUUGCUGAAAAACACACCUUGCAUAACCAGUGAACAAAUCAAGGAAAUCUUCUAUAUUGAAAAUCAAAAGGAGUAUGAGAACAAAUGUGCUGCGAAGAAGAGGAGACUUCAAGUGCUGGGCAAAAAGAUGAAGCAAGCUAUUAAAGGACUUAAUCUUCAGGAAUAUGACGAUGCCUCCCGAGAGACUUUUGCAAGUGACACAAAUGAAGCCCUGGCUUCUCUGGAUGAGUUGCAAGAAGGACAUGGGGAAAUAAAACUUGAUGUAGAACAUGUUUUUGAAACAGAUGAAGGUGAUAGUAUCUUUUGUGUACUAGAUACUUGAGGAAUCAAAAUCUUUGAGAUGUAUAUAUUAAUGGUCAAUUUUAUAUUAUAACUUUUCAUUAGUUGCAAUAGUGCCUAUUAUGUGAAUCAGUCACAUGCUGGAAAGGACCAUUUCAUUUCUUACAGUUGAUGCUUCAGUUUGCUUCAGAUCAUGAAUGCUCUACAUCUUCAUUUAGUUCGUAAUUUCAACAGACACUUAAACCUAAUGUGCAUUCAUUCUUUCAUCUCAUGGUUAGUUUUAACGUUAGAAAAAAAACCUGAAUGCUCUCAUUGCAAAAAAAAAACCUGUGUAUGGAACUGAAUAUAACUGCAUGGAAACACUAUUUCAUUUCACUAAUAGUAAUAUAAACAAAUAUUACUCUGACACACACUUUGGUAUGGAAGCUCAUCAUUGUUUUCAUGAUGAAUUUUGGAACAGGUUUUGCCUACGAGCCAGAUUGGUAUUCAGUCUGCUUGCAAGUUUUUAUAGAUGAAACAGUAAGGAAUAUAAUGCAGUAAUUUCAAAUGUGUUUUUUUAAUUUGGAUGCCCUUCACAAUUGAAAAGGUUACUUUUAAAGAAGACCUGGUAUUGUCCAGUUUGUCUUUUGUUAUAAUGAUAGAACCUGAGGUUUUGUUCUAUAAUACAAAAUGAUAAAUACUACACAUUGCGUGCAUAGAGAACUUCAAUUUCAGCUUACAUUGACCAUUAGUUCUGAGAAAAUAAUAUAAAUUUAAAAUAAUUAAAACAAAUUUUUCUCUUUAUCAGUUUUUUCAGUUUUCAGUUUCUUAUACCUGAGUUUUGAGCUAACAAUCCUGCAUCAAAUUAGUUGUAUUAAAAGUAGACCACUUAAAUCAGUAAAUCUUAAGUUAAUUCUGCUUCGACUUAAUUGAUAUUAGAGAUCUGAAGAAUACCUCAGUCUGAAUCCAGCCAGCAUAAAUGGGUACUGAACUUGUCUCAGUUUCACAUUUUGUUUUGAAAUUAACAAUUACAAAGAUGGGAGUUGGCUAUAAGAUUUAAUCUCCAUUGUUAUCCCUAUUAAUUACAAUCAUCUUAAAAGAACAAAAAAGUUAAGAAAUCAAGCAGUACAUACAUACAUGAAUCAUAGCAGUAGACUUGUGUAUCAUAAGUCUAAGGUUUCACAAGAUUAGAAUGGAUAUUGCAAAUCUAGUUUAAUUUUCAUUAUAAUAUGUAAAAUAAAUAAAAUUAUUCACUUUUAAGAUGAUGUAUUUAUUCAAUUUGCUUUUUUUAUGGAUUUUUUUUUUUUAGGAUUUCCAGUUGCCUUUUUAAAAAAGGAAAGAGGUGAGAUAGUGAAAUGAACUCUGUUGCUUAGGUUAUUCUGUUAAUAUAUCAUAUUUCAGCACGGGUAGUUAAAUCCUUGAAGAGCAACAGCUUCUUUCAGUUAUAUACAUUUGUGUGUAUUAAAUUUUUAGUUCAAACUUACACAAUGAAUUUCAGUAAUUUUGUGAAAACAGAUGCUGCUGAGCAAAAACGUUUUUUGUAUAUUAAAAGGACUUACUUGCCCACUGAA